AUUGAACGCUGGCGGCAUGCCUUACACAUGCAAGUCGAACGGUAACAGGUCUUCGGAUGCUGACGAGUGGCGUACGGGUGCGUAAUACAUCGGAACGUGCCCGAUCGUGGGGGAUAACGAAGCGAAAGCUUUGCUAAUACCGCAUACGAUCUACGGAUGAAAGCAGGGGACCGCAAGGCCUUGCGCGAACGGAGCGGCCGAUGGCAGAUUAGGUAGUUGGUGGGAUAAAAGCUUACCAAGCCGACGAUCUGUAGCUGGUCUGAGAGGACGACCAGCCACACUGGGACUGAGACACGGCCCAGACUCCUACGGGAGGCAGCAGUGGGGAAUUUUGGACAAUGGGCGAAAGCCUGAUCCAGUCAUGCCGCGUGCAGGAUGAAGGCCUUCGGGUUGUAAACUGCUUUUGUACGGAACGAAAAGACUCUGGUUAAUACCUGGGGUCCAUGACGGUACCGGAAGAAUAAGCACCGGCUAACUACGUG
rnacentral:rRNA from 1 species